rnacentral:rRNA from 1 species
AUGCAUAAAGGGAAAUUUGAGACUCUCCAAGAGCGUUUGAGGAAAGCUCUUAUGGAUUGGAGUGAGCAGUACAUGUCGUCGGGGAACAAGGAGAUUCUUAUUAAAUCAGUGGCACAGGCCAUACCUGCAUAUGCUAUGAGUGUCUUCAAACUCCCGGCUUCGGUGUGUGAUGAUCUAACAAGAAUGAUACGCCAGUAUUGGUGGGGGGUAGAGAACGGGAAGAAGAAGAUGGCAUGGAUGAGUUGGGAUAAGCUGCAUUUGCCCAAACCCAUGGGAGGCAUGGGGCUUAGGGAUAUGAGGGCGCUUAACCAGGCGCUACUUCCUAAGCAGGCCUGGCGGCUCCUGGAUAGGCCGAAUAGCCUAUGUGCGCGGUUGCUGAAAGCAAAAUACUAUCCGUCUGGUCAGCUUUUGGAUACGGUGUUCCCAAGCUCCGGAUCUGAGGUAUGGAAGGGAAUCCUACAUGGCCUUGAGCUGGUCAAGAAAGGCGUCAUUUGGAGAGUUGGUAAUGGCUUGAAGAUUCGUACUUGGCGCGACCCUUGGUGUGACGCCCCAAGACCGGAGCUUCAGAUGCCUUCCAGCUAUUCUGAGUUUCGCCGUGUGUUUCUUUUGUGCUUGCUCUUUUAUUUUUUUGCAUCGCAUCAUGUCAUCUUGCCAUCAUGCCAUUUAUUUUUUAAACUCAACUAA